rnacentral:lncRNA from 1 species
AUCCAUAUAUUGUUCAUAUGUAUGUAGUAUAAGUCCAAAUGUCUAACAAUCUCCCACUUGGAUGAUACACUCAUGCAUAUGCACAAACCUUAGCAUUAUAUGUUAUAUUAUAACUUUAUGAGCUCUGUAUUGCUAUCAUAAUAAAAUUGUCAUGAAUAAUCCGGUCCAUCAAUCAUAUCAACAUAGGAUCUAAGAGCUCUUAGUUACUCUUGCGUAAC